UACAGAGGUGGCAAGCGUUGUUCGGAAUUACUGGGCGUAAAGGGCGCGUAGGCGGCCAUCUAAGUCAGAGGUGAAAUCCUGGAGCUCAACUCCAGAACUGCCUUUGAUACUGGAGAGCUUGAGUUCGGGAGAGGUGAGUGGAACUGCGAGUGUAGAGGUGAAAUUCGUAGAUAUUCGCAAGAACACCAGUGGCGAAGGCGGCUCACUGGCCCGAUACUGACGCUGAGGUGCGAAAGCGUGGGGAGCAAACAGG
rnacentral:rRNA from 1 species